rnacentral:rRNA from 1 species
GGCGUGCUUAACACAUGCAAGUCGAACGCGAACGUUUCCUUCGGGGAACAAGUAGAGUGGCGCACGGGUGAGUAACGCGUAAGUAACCUGUCCUCGCAUCUGGGAUAACCCACCGAAAGGUGUGCUAAUACCUGAUACGUCUGGAAUUAUACUUUGGAUUCAGAGAAAGAUGGCCUCUGAUAUAAGCCAUUGUGCGAGGAGGGGCUUGCGUACCAUUAGCUAGUCGGUAGGUAACGGCCUACCGAGGCAAUGAUGGUUAGCGGGUCUGAGAGGAUGAUCCGCCACACUGGAACUGGAACACGGACCAGACUCCUACGGGAGGCAGCAGUGAGGAAUAUUGCGCAAUGGGGGCAACCCUGACGCAGCGACGCCGCGUGGAUGAUGAAGGCCUUCGGGUUGUAAAAUCCUGUCAGAUGGGAAGAAGUGCAUCAUGUUUAAUAGAUGUGGUGUUUGACGGUACCAUCAAAGGAAGCACCGGCUAACUCCGUG